rnacentral:rRNA from 4 species
UUAAAUUGAAGAGUUUGAUCAUGGCUCAGAUUGAACGCUGGCGGCAGGCCUAACACAUGCAAGUCGAACGGUAACAGGAAGAAGCUUGCUUCUUU